GACGAACGCUGGCGGCGUGCUUAACACAUGCAAGUCGAACGGAAAGGCCCUGCUUUUGUGGGGUGCUCGAGUGGCGAACGGGUGAGUAACACGUGAGUAACCUGCCCUUGACUUUGGGAUAACUUCAGGAAACUGGGGCUAAUACCGGAUAGGAGCUCCUGCUGCAUGGUGGGGGUUGGAAAGUUUCGGCGGUUGGGGAUGGACUCGCGGCUUAUCAGCUUGUUGGUGGGGUAGUGGCUUACCAAGGCUUUGACGGGUAGCCGGCCUGAGAGGGUGACCGGCCACAUUGGGACUGAGAUACGGCCCAGACUCCUACGGGAGGCAGCAGUGGGGAAUAUUGCACAAUGGGCGGAAGCCUGAUGCAGCAACGCCGCGUGCGGGAUGACGGCCUUCGGGUUGUAAACCGCUUUCGCCUGUGACGAAGCGUGAGUGACGGUAAUGGGUAAAGAAGCACCGGCUAACUACGUGCCAGCAGCCGCGGUGAUACGUAGGGUGCGAGCGUUGUCCGGAUUUAUUGGGCGUAAAGGGCUCGUAGGUGGUUGAUCGCGUCGGAAGUGUAAUCUUGGGGCUUAACCCUGAGCGUGCUUUCGAUACGGGUUGACUUGAGGAAGGUAGGGGAGAAUGGAAUUCCUGGUGGAGCGGUGGAAUGCGCAGAUAUCAGGAGGAACACCAGUGGCGAAGGCGGUUCUCUGGGCCUUUCCUGACGCUGAGGAGCGAAAGCGUGGGGAGCGAACAGGCUUAGAUACCCUGGUAGUCCAUGCUGUAAACGGUGGGUACUAGGUGUGGGGUCCAUUCCACGGGUUCCGUGCCGUAGCUAACGCUUUAAGUACCCCGCCUGGGGAGUACGGCCGCAAGGCUAAAACUCAAAGGAAUUGACGGGGCCCCGCACAAGCGGCGGAGCAUGCGGAUUAAUUCGAUGCAACGCGUAGAACCUUACCUGGGUUUGACAUGGAUCGGGAGCGCUCAGAGAUGGGUGUGCCUCUUUUGGGGUCGGUUCACAGGUGGUGCAUGGCUGUCGUCAGCUCGUGUCGUGAGAUGUUGGGUUAAGUCCCGCAACGAGCGCAACCCUUGUUCACUGUUGCCAGCACGUUAUGGUGGGGACUCAGUGGAGACCGCCGGGGUCAACUCGGAGGAAGGUGGGGAUGACGUCAAGUCAUCAUGCCCCUUAUGUCCAGGGCUUCACGCAUGCUACAAUGGCUGGUACAGAGAGUGGCGAGCCUGUGAGGGUGAGCGAAUCUCGGAAAGCCGGUCUCAGUUCGGAUUGGGGUCUGCAACUCGACCUCAUGAAGUCGGAGUCGCUAGUAAUCGCAGAUCAGCAACGCUGCGGUGAAUACGUUCCCGGG
rnacentral:rRNA from 1 species